ensembl:lncRNA
GCAAGCACCAGUCUUUGUGAUAGUGGAUUGGGGUUCAUACUUACAUGACUUUAUGUGUGAUCCUACACCCGCCUUAAGAGACAGGAUCCAUGACUUCCUUCAUUUUCUCUGGCUCCACAGUAUGAAAGAUUCAGAUAGAGACAGACAGACAUGCCUAGGGAGCCUUGAGAAGGGGAGGAGUGGGGACAGGCGGUAGAUUGGAGGGAUUCUGAGGGUGUGUGUCAAUCACUUGUAUCCUUGUAGGUCAGGAAUCGUAUCUGAUUCUUCCACAUAUAGCUAGAAUUCUAUGUAUUUUCAAAAUAAACUAGAACUCUGUGAAAACGGGAAGAAGCAAGAAAGAUUUUAUGUCCCUAUUUUUAUCUGCUUCAAAAGCAUUCCCAGAUGCAGGUAGGAGAUGAAUUUCGAGUCCUCCUCCCUACCCCUCUCCCAACCCGGCGAGAGAGAAGAGAAUCAGCCCUGCGUGUUCUGAACACAGCGGCGGUGCCGGAAGCCGAGGCCGCAGAAGAAGAGGAGAUUAGGACACAGACAACACAAACUGAGGGAGAAUCAUGUGAGGACACAGCAGGAAGGUGGCCACCUGAAAGCCAAGGAGAAAGGCCUCGGAAGAAAGCAAACCUGCCGACACCUUGAUCUUGAACUUCUAGCCUCCAGAACUGUGAGAAAAUAAAUUUCUGUCGUUUAAGAUAUGCAGUCUGUGGUAUUCUGUUAUGGCAGCCCUAGCAGACUCAUACAGGAGGGAAGAGUGUAAAAAUCUUAGUGACCUACGACACACCGUGGAUUAAAUUAAUUUUGAGGUUUUCCCCAGCUCUCAUAAUCUUUUUCCCAUGUUUCUUUCUCUUUCAUUGUGAGUCUAUCUCCAGUGUCCAUGAACCAAAUCCAAACUCAUCCAAUACACCCCCACCCUCUAAGGCACAUUUUAGCAGCAUCCUUUCGCUCCUUUGACUGUUACUGAACUGGGUUUCUGGCAGAUAGUUCUAACUUGGUUCUAGUCUCAAUCCCACCCCAAAGUCAGAAGGCCACCCUCUGCUUACUUAUGGUGAGAUAGUGCCUCAGGGUUGGAGGGAAGACCUGGAAGGUUACUAACAUCAAGCUUAGGAAAGAGAGAAUAAAGGCUAUAGUAAAAAAAUAAAAUAAAAGAUCAUAUGCAAGGUGCAGUGUGCUACAGGAGCAAGACGUCACACAGUGCCAGUCACUGCCCAGGGCGUAUUUGUUCUCCAUCUUCCAAAGGAAAUAUCAGACAAGGCAGACAGCCUGAGCUUCCAUUUGGGGUUAAGUGAGGGAGGGGUAGUGGAGGACGGUGAGAAAGGGCAGAGUGUCUAAAAGGGUAGGCAGCUGCUGCAUCUUGCAGAAUGCACCUGGUUUGAAGAGAAGGCGAGAGCCAUAGGCUUCCAAACACUGUCACUCAUCUGCAAGCAGUUGGCUUGGGGCACAUUCAGCUUCCCAGCUAGAGUACUCCUGCCCAUUGGCAUUAGAGAAAGAUGGAGAGGACAAAUCCCUGUCAUCUCCUGGGCCCCAAGACUCCUGUCUCCUUUCAGGGCACCACACUAACUCACUUGUAUUUCUGAGUGGUAUAGAGGGGACUAUAAAUAAAAAUGUCUCAGACAAAUUUCUAUUGAGCACAUGCCCAAGCUUAUUAUCUUGCUAACAAGGGAACCUACAAGAUGAUAAAACCAUGGUUCUUCUAGCGAAGGUAUGAAAAUGGAGGAGUAACAGGGCUGGGAAAGCAAAUGCCUAUACAAGUGGCCUGUUUAAAAAAAAAAAAAACAAGAAAGAAAAGAAAACAGUUCAUUAGGUAAGGGUUGCUCUUUCUUUUCUUAAGGCCAUAAAAACAUCACAUUCAUAUCAGUCAUUUGAAGGAACCUGGAGCAAUGUGAUCUGAGAGACUAGGCUGGGCUAACCCUUAAAAAUAGUAAUAAUAAUAAUACACCUAAGAAGGAAAUCCUAAGGAUCUACCUGAGGAUGUUAGGUGGAAUAUCGAGACUGCUUUCCCAGAAAAGCGUGUGAUUGAUCCACUUAACAUGGAAGCAGGUUAUAUGUCAGAUGGAGGUUAUAGGCCACACACCAGGGCGCAAGGCUUGAUUUUAAACUGGUGCUUCCAGUGACUUUUCUCGAGCUACAAGGCAAUAGGCAGAAUCCACAGUUGGUCCAUUUCUUAACUUCGGGGUCUUUUUUUCCUUUUGACAGGUAGAACAAAAGGCCAAAGUGUUGGAAGACUCAGCCCUUCGACGUCCCCUUAAUGGGAGUUUCCCGAAGAAGGGCCUGCGAUCUGUGACCCCACCUCCCGGAUUCCGCCUUUCUCAGAGGUUCCCACUCGGAGCCCAGAGACAGAGACUGCAGUGACUCUGGAGACGGGAAGGCAAGGCGGGGCUGUCGGGGGCCGAGGUCCCUAAUCACGGCCAAGGCCGGACUGCACGAGGGUCCCAAGUACACGGAGGGCGGCGGGACU